rnacentral:rRNA from 1 species
GAACGCUAGCGGGAGGCCUAACACAUGCAAGCCGAGCGGUAGAGUGUCUUCGGAUACUUGAGAGCGGCGUACGGGUGCGGAACACGUGUGCAACCUGCCUUUAUCUGAGGGAUAGCCUUUCGAAAGGAAGAUUAAUACCUCAUAAUAUACUGAUUGGCAUCAAUUAGUAUUGAAAGCUCCGGCGGAUAGAGAUGGGCACGCGCAAGAUUAGAUAGUUGGUGAGGUAACGGCUCACCAAGUCAAUGAUCUUUAGGGGGCCUGAGAGGGUGAUCCCCCACACUGGUACUGAGACACGGACCAGACUCCUACGGGAGGCAGCAGUGAGGAAUAUUGGACAAUGGGUGCAAGCCUGAUCCAGCCAUCCCGCGUGAAGGACGACGGCCCUAUGGGUUGUAAACUUCUUUUGUGCAGGGAUAAACCUACUCUCGUGAGGGUAGCUGAAGGUACUGUACGAAUAAGCACCGGCUAACUCCGUGCCAGCCGCCGCGGUAAUUCGUCGUGACUGGGAAACCCCCUGGCGA